rnacentral:rRNA from 1 species
AGUGAACGCUGGCGGUAGGCCUAACACAUGCAAGUCGAACGGCAGCACAGUAAGAGCUUGCUCUUACGGGUGGCGAGUGGCGGACGGGUGAGGAAUACAUCGGAAUCUACUUUUUCGUGGGGGAUAACGUAGGGAAACUUACGCUAAUACCGCAUACGACCUACGGGUGAAAGCAGGGGAUCUUCGGACCUUGCGCGAUUGAAUGAGCCGAUGUCGGAUUAGCUAGUUGGCGGGGUAAAGGCCCACCAAGGCGACGAUCCGUAGCUGGUCUGAGAGGCUGAUCAGCCACACUGGAACUGAGACACGGUCCAGACUCCUACGAGAGGCAGCAGUGGGGAAUAUUGGACAAUGGGCGCAAGCCUGAUCCAGCCAUACCGCGUGGGUGAAGAAGGCCUUCGGGUUGUAAAGCCCUUUUGUUGGGAAAGAAAAGCAGCAGGUUAAUACCCCGCUGUUCUGACGGUACCCAAAGAAUAAGCACCGGCUAACUUCGUG